UUUGAUCCUGGCUCAGGAUGAACGCUGGCGGUAUGCUUAACACAUGCAAGUCGAACGGGGCUCUUCGGAGAAUCUGGCUUCAGGUUCGGGACAACAGUGGGAAACGGCUGCUAAUACCGAAUGUGCAGAAAUGUGAAAGAUUAAUUGCCUGAAGAUGAGCUCGCGUCUGAUUAGCUAGUUGGUGGGGUAAGAGCCUACCAAGGCGACGAUCAGUAACUGGUCUGAGAGGAUGACCAGUCACACUGGGACUGAGACACGGCCCAGACUCCUACGGGAGGCAGCAGUGGGGAAUUUUCCGCAAUGGGCGAAAGCCUGACGGAGCAAUACCGCGUGAGGGAGGAAGGCUCUAGGGUUGUAAACCUCUUUUCUCAGGGAAGAACAAAAUGACGGUACCUGAGGAAUCAGCAUCGGCUAACUCCGUGCCAGCAGCCGCGGUAAUACGGAGGAUGCAAGCGUUAUCCGGAAUUAUUGGGCGUAAAGCGUCCGCAGGUGGCAGUUCAAGUCUGCUGUUAAAGGUCGAGGCUCAACCCCGAACAGGCAGUGGAAACUGAACAGCUAGAGUGCGGUAGGGGCAGAGGGAAUUCCCAGUGUAGCGGUGAAAUGCGUAGAGAUUGGGAAGAACACCGGUGGCGAAAGCGCUCUGCUAGGCCGUAACUGACACUCAUGGACGAAAGCUAGGGGAGCGAAUGGGAUUAGAUACCCCAGUAGUCCUAGCCGUAAACGAUGGAUACUAG
rnacentral:rRNA from 1 species